rnacentral:rRNA from 1 species
CCUACGGGGGGCUGCAGUGGGGAAUAUUGCACAAUGGGGGAAACCCUGAUGCAGCGACGCCGCGUGCGUGAAGAAGUAUCUCGGUACGUAAAGCUCUAUCAGUAGGGAAGAAAAUGACGGUACCUGACUAAGAAGCCCCGGCUAACUACGUGCCAGCAGCCGCGGUAAUACGUAGGGGGCAAGCGUUAUCCGGAUUUACUGGGUGUAAAGGGAGCGUAGACGGCAGGACAAGUCUGGAGUGAAAUCCCGGGGCUUAACCCCGGAACUGCUUUGGAAACUGUGCGGCUGGAGUGCAGGAGGGGUAAGCGGAAUUCCUGGUGUAGCGGUGAAAUGCGUAGAUAUUAGGAAGAACACCGGUGGCGAAGGCAGCUUACUGGGCUGUAACUGACGUUGAGGCACGAAAGCGUGGGGAGCAAACAGGAUUAGAUACCCGAGUAGUC